AAUUACAAUUUUAACCUUUUUUUUCCCUUCAUUUUCUGGUUUCUUUUAUUUUGAAUUUCUUGAAAAUUAAAAAAAAAAGGAACCUGUUUAAAAUUCUUACUUGUUUCCUUCUGUGGUUGCUUCCCCUUUGAGAUUGUAACAUUGGAAUGUGUUUCAUGUCACCAGCAGAGAAAUCCUCUGCCCAAUGGGCACUCAGGCCCGUCUAAUGAAGUUGUUACUGAAUGCUGCAUGAGGUUUGUGGGUCAUGUCUAGUCAAAUUGAAACACUUUCUCCAAAACAUCAAUAAAAUGGAGGUGAAAUAAAAAUGUCCAUGGGAUGUCUACAUAAAACAUGGCGUUUCACCUUCAUUGAUGACCUAAAAGCAGUGGCCGCUAGUUGGAAAUAAGCUGUAAACAUUGGUGGCAACUGAUCUCUGUGAAGGCAGCAUGCCCUCUUUUGGGACAGGAGGACCUAGGUCUAUGUAAGUCAUUAAGACAUUGAAUUCUAGUUGUGGAGCCAAUGGUCAAUUCAUGCUGGGAGGUCAAGAUUUUUAGUUCUGAAUUUUGUCUCUCUCUACAUGACAUGGUGGGGAAAGUCAAGUCAGUAGAUUAUUUUGCUGUGUGCUCACUGUCCACAGAAACAGCAACAUGUGCCUCAAAAUUAUUUGUAAAAAGGAAUUUUUUAUAUUUGCUACAAUUGUAACUGUUUAAGAUUAUUUUUCUAGUAAGAUAACAAGAUAUAAUUGAUCAUUUUUUGUCUACACUCCAUGAAUAUUUAGCAACCUAAGCUUAAGUUUUCAUUACUUAAAAUUAUUUAAUCUAUCUUCACUUAUUGUAUUAGAAGCUAUUAGUUCUUGACACCUUAUUGUCAAAAAAGAAGAUAAUUACGUCCAACAAAUACAAUGUGGGCUUAUCUAACUGCAGCUAAUUCAACUUGUAGAUUCUAUAUAAACCUCUAACUUGUUUUAAAUUUAGGUCUGAGAUGAAUAAAAAUUGUUAAUACUCUAAAUUAGAGUCAAAGUACUUUCACUUAAGAUGCUUAUCUUAUUUUUUCCACAACUGAUUCUUUCCUUCAAACUACUCUCACAAGAUUACUAGCCCAGAUAUGCUGGUGAUGUCAGCAAGUCCAGUGCAUUUUGAAACCAGGACCGUUAAAACAACCUUCUGGAGCCCAAACCACACAACCAGGCAGGCUUUUAACUGCAAAGUAAUCUCAUAUUUUCAGUUACACAGGGACUUGAAGAGUUCCCCCAAAUAAAACAUUUUAUUGAAC